UGUACUUUCUGAGCGGACAGGAGAUGUGUUUGAGGCGUGGUCCUGUUCCCGGACCUAUUUAUAAAACUAAAUUUACAGAGUGCAGUAGUAGUAGUACUAGUGGUAGUAGUAGUUGGCUUACUUAGCUAGCAUUAGUCAAUAAACAGUGGUUCUCAAAUCCAGGGGCAUUGUCGCUGUUGGGACUUGAGUGUAUAUGUGACCUCCUGCUGUUACUGCUGCAGUGUGAGCUCGACAGGCGAGCAGCAGCAGCAGCGCUGACAGACGCUUUGCCAGCAGAGCACAGAGGAGCCGACUGAGCUUGUAUACAAGUGAGAAGAUGCUUUGGGGAUGGGAAAUGUCUGUGAACUGCCAACUCCGGGGCUCUGUGCAGAUGUUCUACGGGCUUUAAGUCUGAGCGUUGGCUGAACCACUCAAGGUCACAUGCUCUCAGGAGCAGGUUUUCUGGCUGUGUUUGGCCGCGUUCAUCCUUCCCUCAAUUCAAGACGUCUCCCCUGUCCCCGCAGCUGAGAAGCGCCCUCGUAGCCCAACGCGGCCCUCCACCAUACCUCACCAUAUGGUCGGAAUUAGCCGGAGUCCUUUAAAUGCUGUUUGGUAAACUGUCGUUUGCCUUUUACCAAAAGCGACUUGAGUCUAUCCUCUCUGCCAUCAAGGCCUGAUUGAUGGGCUGCCACUGAGGUGAACACUCAAAGCUUUUUUUAAAUGGUUUCGCUAUCCUUGCCCUGAUCCACUGUGGAGGUUUACAGGGAGUUCCUUGGACUCCAUGGCGUGUUUUCGUCACAUGCAGUGGGAACCGUAGGACCUCAUACACACGUUGUGUUCUCACAUUCAGCCCUUGCGGGGAAGUUCAGGAAUAGGCCUGGACAUCAGUGCAAAUGUGUGAAAGCAGCUGUGCAGUCACAUCCCCACCUUGUGACCACAGGUGGGGAUUGGGAUACGGACAAAGAGCUUUGCUUUGUAUCUCAGUUCUCCAUUCACUGCAAUGUCUCCACGUUCUCCACAUCGCUGAAUUACUACGUCUACUGACAGUCAGGAGUGGCGACCCACUGUGACGUCACCUACGACUAGUUUGUGAACUGCUGUUUUUUGAAGCAUCGUGGCCACCGCUGUCUUGGAUUGUUUUGGAACCAGAAGUAACCAUAUUUGGACGAGCAGGGUUUGAGCCUGAGAGCUCGUCUACUGCUCGUCCACCCACGGCUUUAGCCCGCACCGACUGGAUGGUACUAUCUUUCCAUCACGAUUUAUCCGAGGCCCCAAUGCAUACAGUGCUUGAUCGUCUAUUUUACACUAAAAGAGGAGGCCACAGAUUAUAAAACGAACAUCAUGCUGUAUUGAAGAAGGGAGAAUACAGGUUGCAGGUGUAGUGUCUUUGACACUACACAGGCACUCCACAUUGACUUCACUUCCCAGACCCGUUGACUGCGUCCAUUUUUAUUUACAGUUUAUGGGUUCACAGUUCUUCUUACACUCGCUUGUAAACUCUUUUGUUUAGGUCAGCCUCUCUUGGUGGCUUCAUGUCACUUCAGAGAAACACACACACACACACACACACACACACCCACACAGUCGUGUCCCCAUGAUUUCAGACAACAUUUCAUUGACUUACUUUCAUAUCCUGGAGACCUACCUUAAAACAUGUCUUCACUUUAAUAGUAUAUGAUUUCCAAUGUGGGAACUUGCUUUAACCCCAUAAUGUGACAACAGUAGUAAUACCUGGACCACACAUACUGAGUCUCACACACACACACACACACACACACACACACACACACACACACAAACACCUUUCAAAGUAGGACAAGGGAGCACGUGGUCCCCCCUCUUUCAUAUUAUGCAGGCAGUUCUCAGACCCCAGCAAGGAUACAGAGCACCCAUGGGACCCUAUUACAAGUGACACCACUAGACUCCAUAACCUUAAAGCAACAUACAGUGACAGGACGAAAGGGGGGGGGGAGAGAGACCAUUAGAGAAUAAGAAAAAGGCAAGGAAGGAAAUGAGGGAAAAAAUAGCCCUGGGGGCAAAAAGAGAGGGUGGAUCAGUGUGACAAAAAAGGGGAAUGAGGAAGAGGAGCAGAGCGGGGGAAGAGAAGAAAAGAAGCCAGUGGAGGAGUCAGGAAGAAGUGAGAAAUGGAGAAACAACAGAGGCCGAGUACAUCGACAGUGACAGCAAUGGAAGGAGGACAGGGAAAAAUAAUAAUAAUAAUAAUAAUAAUAACAAGUAUGGAUAAUUCCGAAUGAAACGUUCUGGGAAAACGUUUGCUUUUGGUUAAGAAUGAAUCGCAAUGUGGCUUUUUCUGGAAAAUAAAAGGAUUCCCCCUCUAAA